rnacentral:rRNA from 1 species
GCCUAGGACGGUACCAUUCUGAACGCCCCGAUCUUGUCUGGUCUCAGAAGCUAAGCAUGGUCAGGCCUGGAUCACUCUAGAAGGGGAGGUUUGAUGGCCACGUAGCAGCGUGUUUUACCUAUUGGUCCUAUGCA